rnacentral:rRNA from 1 species
GACGAACGCUGGCGGCGUGCCUAACACAUGCAAGUCGUGCGAGAAAGUUCCUUCGGGAGCGAGUAAAGCGGCGCACGGGUGAGUAACACGUAGGUAACCUGCCCCCCAGUCUGGAACAACUAGAGGAAACUCUAGCUAAUGCCGGAUGAGACCACGAUCCCUUCGGGGGUUGCGGCCAAAGAUGGCCUCUACUUGUAAGCUAUCGCUGAGGGAUGGGCCUGCGGGCCAUUAGCUUGUUGGUGAGGUAACGGCUCACCAAGGCUGUGAUGGCUAGCUGGUCUGAGAGGAUGACCAGCCACACUGGGACUGAGACACGGCCCAGACUCCUACGGGAGGCAGCAGUGGGGAAUAUUGCGCAAUGGGCGAAAGCCUGACGCAGCGACGCCGCGUGGGUGAUGAAGGCCUUC